ensembl:lncRNA
GACCUGAAGGCAGUAUCUCUCGCCCUGAGCAGCGACCUCACAUUACCGUCAAACCAGGGUUUCUGAUUAGGGAACACCUUGAUGGUUCUGGUGCGCAGUACUGUCUCGGUGCAAAACUGAAUGUAGUCCAGGACGUUAGAGGUGUACUCCUCACAGUUGGCUCCCUGAGAAAAUACCUCCCAUACUGAGCUCUAAAAACAGACCUGUAGUGAUGUAACAGCUUCCUCACUCCAUACCUGUACUGUCUUCACAGCUGGUUUGGUUCUACAGCAACUGGUUUAUAAGAUGGAAUCAGUGUCAAGGAGAUAUGAUCUGAUAAUCCGAGGUGUGGGGAUGGUGCAGCUUUAUAUGCCCUGUGUAUAUUUGUACUUGGUCCAGAGAGUUUUUAUCUCUUGUUAGAAAGCAUACAUUUUUGUGGAGUUAUUAGAAGAUGACUUUUAAUGAACCCAAUGUUGAUAUUUUAUUUACAUUUUUAUCUUAUAGAAAAGUGAAACACUGGAAAUGGAUUGGGCGUUAACUGACUUGGAAAAACAAAUAGAUACGAUGGAAACACAGAAACAGAGGUCGGAGUGUUGCGGUAAGUUCUUGUUCCACAUGUUUCACUGUGUUAAUGAGUAACAGAUCAUUUAUUAAUAUCCAGUGAUGUGCAAGGGUUACUGACUCACACCAAGUCAAAUGAUAUCGCUGUGAUUCAAAACAUUUCUAAUUGUAGCAGAGAGUCAGAGCCUUUAGCAGAGGGACCAGAGUGGCAGACCUACUGAACAACAUCUUCUAGAUAUUAUAUUAUAGAAUGGAGCUAUCCAUGUAUAUAAGACACUACUCUCAUA